AUCAGGCUUGGCAGUGGUUCUGCAGGGCCUGCAGGGGCUGAGCAGGGCCAGAGGAGGAGGAAGUUCACAUAUGAGGGAGCAGGCCCUGGUGAGAACAGCCUCGGCUGCAAGACGGUACCAUCUGCUGGGUACAGAGAUCCAGGACCACCCCAACCCCACCAUCUACAGUUGAUGGCCCAAGCUAGAUUGGCUUGGUACCCUCACCUCUCCGGCGCAGAGAAGAGGAAAGUCUUCAAGGCCGGCAGAUUGUACCAAGAGCACAAGCUGAGACAGGCAUGGCAAAGACCCAGCCUGGCACUGCAGCAUGGCUAGAGGUUAAGGGCAGACCACAUCCCAAAUCAUCAAUGAAGAGCCUAAAGGACUCAGUCUCUAGGGUACUCUCAGAACACCAAAGACAGAGGACUGCCCGGCUUCUCAGCGGCCAGUGCUCUGCAAGGCCCUAGUCUCAAAACUAGGUGGUGCCCUGUGGUUCACAGUGGGCAUUAGGCAAGCAGUUCCUUUCCAUGAGGCUGCUCAGCUCCUCAAGAUGGCUACGAGCUGGUUAAAAACAGGGAGCUUGCACGAUGCCAUCAGCUUGUCCCCAGUACCCAGCCACUUCACUUGGCCAACUAAAGAGCUCUUAAGAACUACUGGGCACUGCUCACAGCCCUGUGUCUAGCCGAGGGUACCACAUCUCCCACACUGCUGGGUUGUAGGUACAGCAGGACUCCAUGUGACAAAUGAGGAGGCUGAGGUCCAGAAGGUGAGACCACCAGAGACGGGAACUUCCUGCUAUUUACUGUGGGGCAAUGUGACCAAGGAAUCUCUUUGCCUUCACAUUCCUUCCUUCUAGAUGGGCCUCUUAAGGUUCAGCAGGCUGGAGGUUGAGCAACACUUGAGACAUAGCCCAGCAAUCAGUUUGAGAAUAUUGAGGCUCCUCCUGGGAGGAGAGACAUGGCAAAGAGCUUACAGAAUGUUCUGGAGAACUUGCAGGAGCUGGUCUUGUCUUUCCCAAGAAAGAUUAGAGAUGACGGCGCUUAAAUGAGCAGAGGACCAGGUUGGGCAGGUUGAGAGCGUGGCCUCUGCUGAUCCCAGCUGCACAAAGACCAGGCCACCCUCGGCACCAUAGAGCAAGAGGCCAAGCUACGGCUGGCCCAGUGCCAGUACAGCCCUUACCGAUGGCCACAGCAUCAGAUGACCACGUCCAGGUGGGACCUCUGACAUCCUGUCCUCAACCCUUGUCCUUGGGUCUGGAGAGACUGUCCACAUCACAUACAGACUGACUCACACGAGCACUUAGCUAGGAGUCUUUCUGUCUGGAUCCACGCACUGCAAUGUCCUCCCCUCUCUCAGAGGGAAAUUCACACAGAGCUGCUUCCCUGCCACAGCCAAGUGGAGAGGAAGGGGGCCAUGCUGUUGUUGAAUGCAGCCAACUCCCCAUGCCAGGAAGGAAAAUGAUUUUUCCCAAGAAAGAACAGAAGGGGUUUGCUGAAGAGAUGGGCCAGCGGGUAAAGUGCUGCUGUACAUGUGUGAGGACCUGAGUUCUAAUCCCACACACCCAAAUAAAAAGCUGGGCAUACCCAGGAGGUGGUGGCCCAAGCCUUUAAUCCCAGCACUCAGAGGGCAGAGGCAGGCGGAUCUCUGUGAGUUCCAGGCCAGCCUGGUCUACAAAGCUACACAGAGAAACCCUUUUCCGACCCCCUCUCUCCCCCGCCAAAAAAAACUGGACAUGGUGGCACCAGGGAAGUGAAGACAGGAGUAUCGCUGGAACUCGCUGGCCAGUUGGUGAGCUCUGUAUUCAGGGAGAGAUUCUGUCUGAAAAAGAAACAAACAAGCCAACCCAAGCUAGAAAACAACAAAUAGACUCUCCCAUUGAUCACUGGCUUCUGCAUGCACGAGCACACACAGGGGCACACAUAUGGAGACCCAGGAAGACAGACAUAAGUGUAUGAAGGGCUUCCAGCCCCGAGAGUGUUUUACCCAGGGGCCUUCUGAUGAACCAAGCACAAAUAUGGUCACCAGUAUCGGUUAAAUGCCCCUCAAAAUUCUUCCUGUUUUGGGAAGGAAGGGGGAGAGAAACAGGGAUCAAGUACACUCUAGACUCCUUUGUUGCUGCCCUGAUGUUCCACACAGGCAGGUGCCUCAGCCAACUUCCUUCAGAAGCGUGAGUUUGAGCUGGAAGGAGCCCAUCUUCUAGAAGAAGCCUCUUGCCCAAACUCCAGUUGCAGCCUCCCUGGAGCCCUCACGGCCACCGUCUUCCCAUGGAGAGCCAUACCCUUGGGCACUUUGGUGUAUUUCUCAUUAAAUCUGACAACAUGACUAUGAGGUGUGGGCAUUCUCUCCAUGCCAGGAGAAGGUGACAUGGGAGUGGGCAGGUUGGUUUAAUUAGUCAAUAAAAAUGAGCGUUCAUUGACCAGAAA